rnacentral:rRNA from 1 species
AUUGAACGCUGGCGGCAGGCCUAACACAUGCAAGUCGAGCGGAUGACGGGAGCUUGCUCCUUGAUUCAGCGGCGGACGGGUGAGUAAUGCCUAGGAAUCUGCCUGGUAGUGGGGGACGACGUUUCGAAAGGAACGCUAAUACCGCAUACGUCCUACGGGAGAAAGCAGGGGACCUUCGGGCCCUGCGCUAUCAGAUGAGCCUAGGUUGGAUUAGCUAGUUGGUGAGGUAAUGGCUCACCAAGGCGACGAUCCGUAACUGGUCUGAGAGGAUGAUCAGUCACACUGGAACUGAGACACGGUCCAGACUCCUACGGGAGGCAGCAGUGGGGAAUAUUGGACAAUGGGCGAAAGCCUGAUCCAGCCAUGCCGCGUGUGUGAAGAAGGUCUUCGGAUUGUAAAGCACUUUAAGUUGGGAGGAAGGGCAGUAAGUUAAUACCUUGCUGUUUUGACGUUACCGACAGAAUAAGCACCGGCUAACUCUGUGCCAGCCGCCGCUGUAAGAC